ACUUUAUUGGUCAUGGGAUUGGAUCCUACUUUCAUGGUCAUCCUGAAAUAUGGCAUCACGCCAAUAACCAUGACAUUUUGAUGGAAGAGGGCAUGGCUUUCACAAUCGAACCCAUCCUGAUGAAAGGGUCGCCUGAAUUUAAA